AGAGUUUGAUCCUGGCUCAGGAUGAACGCUAGCGGCAGGCCUAACACAUGCAAGUCGAGCGGUAGGGACCUCGGGUUCUGAGAGCGGCGCACGGGUGCGUAACGCGUAUGCAACCUGCCCUACGACCGGGGAAUAGCCCGUCGAAAGGCGGAUUAAUGCCCCAUGGUCCUUACUCCGGGCAGUCCGGGGGGAGGUAAAGAUUCAUUGGUGUAGGAUGGGCAUGCGUGCCAUUAGCUGGACGGUGGGGUAACGGCCCACCGUGGCGACGAUGGCUAGGGGUUCUGAGAGGAAGGCCCCCCACACUGGGACUGAGACACGGCCCAGACUCCUACGGGAGGCAGCAGUGAGGAGUAUUGGUCAAUGGGCGGAAGCCUGAACCAGCCCAUGCCGCGUGCGGGAAGAAGGCGCUACGCGUCGUAAACCGCUUUUGUCCGGGGGUAACCGUGGGGACGUGUCCCCACCUGCAAGUACCGGACGAAUAAGGGUCGGCUAACUCCGUGCCAGCAGCCGC
rnacentral:rRNA from 1 species